rnacentral:rRNA from 1 species
UACGGAGGGUGCAAGCGUUAUUCGGAUUGACUGGGCGUAAAGCGCACGUAGGCGGCCUGCUAAGUCUGAUGUGAAAUCCCUGGACUCAAUCCAGGAAGUGCAUUGGAUACUGGUAGGCUGGAGUACUGGAGAGGAGAGCGGAAUUCCCGGUGUAGAGGUGAAAUUCGUAGAUAUCGGGAGGAACAACAGAGGCGAAGGCGGCUCUCUGGACAGUAACUGACGCUGAGGUGCGAAAGCGUGGGGAGCAAACAGG